UUAAAAGAUAACAUUCACCAUAAUAAAAGUGUUAUCACAGAUCUUAUAAAAAUUCGGUGAAGACGCCUUCCCAUUCAAAGUGUGUCGCUGCAACGGCAGGUGUUGCUAGUUAUUUCUUCUUGCUGAGAAAGCUUAUCUCACGUCAUAAGGGUUACUCGACCCUUUCUCUCAUUUUGGCGUAGUAUUUAAGAAGAAGCAGCAAUAUGAUGCGAAACGAAAACGAGGGCUGGUGGACGUCCAGAACAGGUCUAGAAAAGAAACUCUUCAUUUUAUCCACGAUAUUAUUAAUUGUUAGCGUCUCCUUAACCAUAACGGUUAUUGUCUACAAAAAUUCAAGUGCAACGAGCGAGUGUCACUGCACUGGUUAGAAGAUUGGAACCGCCAAAGACUGACAAAGAGUGGAACCAAGUAGACCAACAGUUCGAAAAGUCUUCAAAUCUGAAUGUCAUAUUAUGCAAGUCCUGUGGAAGCUCACAAAGGAUCACAAAGUUCAUAAAAUGAAGAACAGAAAUUAUAUUUUGACUUUUUUUUUCCUUUGCUUAUUUCUUAAUCUUAUUAUUUAUUUAGACGACAAAGGCAAACGAUAAAAUGUUUAAAGAACUGUUUUAAUAUUUAAACAGUUCUUUAAACAUUACUGUAUUAAUUUUUAAUAAAUUAUUGAAAUUG